GCAGGGCAAUGGAUAACGAGUUGGACUUCUAAUCCAAAGAUCGUGGGCUCGAAUCCCACCUGAAAUG